UACGGGGGAGCAAGCGUUGUUCGGAUUUACUGGGCGUAAAGGGCGCGUAGGCGGCCACCGCAAGUCGAUUGUGAAAUCUCCGGGCUUAACCCGGAAAGGUCAACCGAUACUGCGGGCUAGAGUGCAGAAGGGGCAACUGGAAUUCUCGGUGUAGCGGUGAAAUGCGUAGAUAUCGAGAGGAACACCUGCGGCGAAGGCGGGUUGCUGGCUGACACUGACGCUGAAGUGCGAAAGCUAGGGGAGCGAACGG
rnacentral:rRNA from 1 species